CCAUUCCCAAGGCUUUGACCCCUAAAAUGCCACCCUGACAAGCUUCUCAAUGGGUCCAGAUCACCAGCUCCCCCAAACCCCACUUAUUCCCAUGUUCCCCAGUCCCAGGUGGCCAUCUACUAAAUAAUGAUGGCAUUUGUUAAGCGUUUACUAUGUGCCAAGCACUGUUCUAAGCACUGGGGGAGAUAUGAGGUAAUCAGGGUGUCCCAUGUGGGGCUCACAGUCUUCAUCCCCAUUUUAAUCAUAAUAAUAACGUUGGUAUUCAUUAAGCACUUUACUAUGUGCCGAGCACUGUUCUAAGCGCUGGGGUAGAUACAGAGUCAUCAGGUUGUCCCACGUGAGGCUCACAGUCUUCAUACAGAUGCGGUCACUGAGGCCCAGUGAAGUGACUUGCCCACAGUCACACAGCUGACAAGUGGCAGAGCUGGGAUUCGAACCCAUGACCUCUGACUCCCAAGCCCGGGCUCUUUCCACUGAGCCGUGCUGCAGAUUUUCCAGGUGAGGGAACUGAGGCCCAGAGAAGUGAAGUGACCUGCCCACAGUCACACAGCUGAUAAGGGGCAGAGCCGGGAUUCGAACCUACAACCUCUGACUCCCAAGCCCGGGCUCCUUCCACUGAGCCACGCCGCUUCGCUACAGCACAGGCCCGGGAGCGAGAAGGACCCGGGUUCUAGUCCCGGCUCCGCCGCUUGCCCACUGCGCCACUUCCCGGGCCUCGGUUUUCCCAUCUGUCAAACGGGGAUGAAGACCGCGCGCCCCACGUGGGACGGGGACUGCGUCCAGCCCCAAUCUCCGUCAUCGACCCCAGCGCUUGGCCCAGCGCUCGGCGGGCAGUAAGCGCUGAAGAAGUUCUCUCGUUCUUCCUAUUGCCGCCGGUUGUGGUGAGCCCACCUGGUCAGGGCCAUUUUCCUUUUGCCGUUGGGCGGGGGCUCGGGCUUCGGCCCGUGGGCCGGGCCGCCGUCUUCUGCCACCUCGGUCGGUCCUUCUUUCGCCCGGCCACGGCCGCCGGCCCCCUCGGCCUGCCCCCGGGGGGCUUCUCCUCCCGCCCCGCCGCCUUCCCCGCCCUUCGACGCCUCCAUCCGAGGCCCCGGGACCACAUCUUCUUCCCCGACCGCCCUGUCCAUCCUUCUCCCGCCCCGACCUUUCCUCCCUCCUCUGCCCUGCCUCGACUCCCUCGCGACGCGCUCCCCUCACUGGCUCUUCUCUCUUUCCAAGCUCUUCCCCCUCGGCGCUCUUUCCUCACAGACUCUUCUCUCCCAGCACGCUCUCUUUACAAGCUCCUUCCUCACAACGCUCUCCCUUUAUAAGCUCUCCCCUCACAGCGAUCUCCCUUUACAGCGCUCUCCCUUUACAAGUUCUCCCUGCACAGCGCUCUCCCUUUAUUAAGCUCUUCCCUCACAACGCUCUCCCUUUACAAACUCUUCUCUCACCACGCUCUCCCUUUACAAUCUCUCCCCCGCACAGCGCUCUCCCUUUACAAGCUCCCCCCCGCACAGCGCUCUCUCUCCCCUGCACAGCGCUCUCCCUUUACAAGCUCCCCCCCGCACAGCGCUCUCUCUCCCCUGCACAGCGCUCUCCCUUUACAAGCUCCCCCCCCGCACAGCGCUCUCCUCCCCGCUCAGCGCUCUCCCUUUACAAGCUCCCUCCCCGCACAACGCUCUCUCCCCCGCACAGCGCUCUCCCUUUACAAGCUCCCCCCGCCGCACAGCGCUCUCCUCCCCGCUCAGCGCUCUCGCUUUACAAGCUCCCUCCCCGCACAGCGCUCUCCCCCCCCGCACAGCGCUCUCUCUCCCCUGCACAGCGCUCUCCCUUUACAAGCUCCCCCCCCCGCACAGCGCUCUCUCUCCCCCGCACAGCGCUCUCCCUUUACAAGCUCUCCCCGCUCAGCGCUCUUUCCCCCCGCACAGCGCUCUGCCCCUCCCCCCCGGCGCCUCCACGUGCAGCCCCCGCCGGCAAAGCGCUGGGGCCCAGCCGUAAUCCAAGCCGCGGCGGCCGGCUCGCACGCACGCCGUUUUACGACGCCGAAAGUCUUUACGGCGCCGCCCCCUCUGCUGGCCGAAGGCGGAGGGGAGGGAGGGGUGGAGCGUGAUUACGUCACAGGGGGCGGGGCUACGUCGCAGAGGGGCGGGGCAAGAGCGAAGCUGCCCCCCCCCCCCCCGCCGCCGCCUUUCUCCCU
rnacentral:lncRNA from 1 species